rnacentral:rRNA from 1 species
CCUACGGGAGGCAGCAGUGGGGAAGUAUUGGACAAUGGGCGAAAGCCUGAUCCAGCAAUUCCGCGUGUGUGAAGAAGGCCUUCGGGUUGUAAAGCACUUUAGUUGGGGAAGAAACAGCUUGGCCACACCAAGCCUUGACGGUACCCAAAGAAUAAGCACCGGCUAACUCUGUGCCAGCAGCCGCGGUAAUACAGAGGGUGCAAGCGUUAAUCGGAUUUACUGGGCGUAAAGGGUGCGUAGGUGGUUUUGUAAGUCGGAUGUGAAAGCCUGGGGCUCAACCUCAGAAUUGCACUCGAUACUGCAAGACUAGAGUUCGGUAGAGGGCGGCGGAAUUCCCGGCGUAGCGGUGAAAUGCGUAGAUAUCGGGAGGAACAUCAAUGGCGAAGGCAGCCGCCUGGGCCUGAACUGACACUGAGGCACGAAAGCGUGGGUAGCAAACAGGAUUAGAUACCCUGGUAGUCCACGCUGUAAACGAUGAGAACUUGACGUUGUCGUUUACGAUCGGUGUCGNNNACGNGAUAUCGUCGCGNGGNGCGCGCGAGU